rnacentral:tRNA from 1 species
CGGGACGUGGCGCAGCUCGGUAGCGCACCUGCUUUGGGAGCAGGGGGUCGCUGGUUCAAAUCCAGUCGUCCCGACCA